CUAAAACAAUGCAUGCACUGACACAAAAAUGCAUUUGCCCACCUAUCUAAAUGCAGGAAAUAAUUUGAAUAAGCCCUAUUUCAAAAAACGGUGGAGUGUUCCUUUAAGUGUCUUUUUCUUUGGUUGGAAAUAUGGGGCAGUUGAAUUGAUCUGCUUCUAAAGCUGGAGUGGAGGGUCUUGAACCGCUGACGAAGAGCUGAGCAAAAGUAGCUGAUGCAUGUGCGUUGCUGGCUUCUGAUGACAGUGGAUAUAUUCUGGAGUCAGCGUUCAAGUUGCAGUUUUUUAACUUACAGAGCAGCCGUCGACGAGGGCUUUAAUGUAGGGGCUGGUCUCGUAGCUGAGCUCUUCAUCGUUAGCACCCUGGAAGUGUAGUGCCCUCUCGUAUCCGCCGUCAGCUGUGAGGUCGGCC